rnacentral:lncRNA from 1 species
ACAAGUGACUUGGAACAUGUUAUGAUGGGUGGAUGUUUGAUGCCCGUUGCCUUGAUGGCGUCGGAGCAAGCGAUGGAAGGAUCUUUGCCCGAUUGUCAGCUGAUGCAAAUGGCACUGAAAGUUAAUGACUGUGUUAUUGUUUCGACAGCUGAUUUUUCUCCCCCGUCAUGUUGUCAUUAUCUUCGAAAAUUGUUUUUAGAAUCCCAACCCAUGCAUGUCUGCACUAGGAAGAGGGUGUGUGAACUGAGGGCCAUCAAGCUGUGUCAUCUCUCCCUUGCUUGGAAAUGAACCAACAUUGUUCUGAUACUGAGAUGUGGGGGUAUGUUCUUUCCUCAGAAACCUUUUGCUUAGAAAGCCUAAACAACUGGAUGCUUCAGCUGUGGUCAUUACAAGUUGCACCAAACUCAGUUCCUUCUGCCUCUCUCUUCCCUGUAUUUCAGUUCUAGGGAAAAUGGACUGCAUGCUAACUCACUAUUGGGUGGCCACCAGUUGCCAACUGGCUACAAAGAAAUAUAUUGGAUGAGACACGUUGAGUGGGUAAUUCUUUUUCUGAAAAUGGCUCCAUACAACAUUGUUGGAUGGGUAAAGCAGGUGGCCCUUCCCACUUUCAAACUAAUGUCUGGUUGCAAGGGGAGCAGAAAAGCAGGGUGGAGAUGGGGCAGCCAUAAGAACAGGAUAAUCUGCAAAAGGGGAAGCACUAGAGCACAUAAGUGCAUAUCACACAUGUGCAUAGCAUUGGUGGUGAUCCUUAGCAUCUUCAAUGGAAAGUGGCAUUGAUUAGAAAAGGCCAGAACUUAGAAGCAGUGAGUUUGGUCCAAUUUGAUUGCCUCUCAUACGUUACUUUUUUAGCUAAUGAGGAUAUGGUGAAGUCACAUUUCAGAAGUAACAUGAGCAGCUAAGUCUAUCACAUUAGUUUAAAUUUUCCCACAACUCAACUCACUGAUCAUCUUUUGAACCCUACAAAUGUUCAAAGAGGUAUAAAGCAGUGGUCCCCAACCUUGGGCCUCCAGAUGUUCUUGGACUACAACUCCCAGAAGCCUUCACCACCAGCUCUGCUGACCACUGGUGUAAAGGAUCUGUUCCAAUGUGGGUCCAUCUUGGUAUCCAAGAACAACAGUUUGCCCUGCCAGCUACUCACAUCAGAAUUGUAGAAAUAUCCCUGGUUAACUUUUCUGUUCGCACAUUUGUCCAAAGACAGUGCAUAGCCCUUCGUUCGUUCGUUCGUUCAUUCAUAUAGUCGUGUCCGACUCUUCGUGACCCCAUGGACCAGAGCACGCCGGGCCCUCCU